AUCGUUACCUCGACAACUUCUUUAACGUGGUUCGGCUCCCUCACGACUUUGACAUGGAGCAGAGUCGAUCCCUGAUUGUGAUAUCCAAAAAUGAGGAGAUGAUCAACUAUGCCAGAGAAGUCGGUGUGUCUCUUGCCAUUGGCCCAGAGAUCGUCAAGCUUGUGCAGUCUGGUGAGAUAAACCUCCUAGAUUAUGAAA